UGAUUCUUGAAGAAAAAGUGUAUAUUAUUAUACAUCGUUAGAAAGCUAUGAAAGUUAGCUUUCCAAUGCCACUAGAAACACGUCAAUUGGACCUCUGUAGCUCAAGUUAUUUUCGUUGGAGUGCAAGG